rnacentral:lncRNA from 10 species
GUGAAGGCUUCACAGAGGAGACAAAGACUGAGCUGGGUUUUGAAGGAUGAAUAGGAGUUCUCUAAGACUAAUGGAACAAUAUUUGGAAAAAGAGAGAUGUGGAAAAGUGGGGAAUAUCUGGUAUUGUUGAUAUAUAAAAGGGGAAUGAGCAGCAAAGGGACCUGAAGAUAGGGAGGUGGCAGAGAUCUACAAAGAAAGUGAGAAAUGAACAUAAAUGUGUAUACUUAGGGAACACCACAGAAUGUGUGACCAUGGAGCAUUCAGCAUCACCAUGGUUGAAGGUCCAUAAAGUAACAAAUUGUCCUAACUUGCUAGACAACUAUCAAGUUUGAACAGCCUCAAAAGUUAGCUUUCACUUUUUUUUUUUUAGUGAGUUCAUCAAAGUUGCUCACAGACUCCAUUUAGUAGAAAACUGCAGAACAAGAUCAACUACAACAAAACUCUGAAUGCAGACACAGUCAUUUCAUUCUGUGCUAAGAUGGGAGAUUUAGUCCUGGUGCCUGAAUUUGAGGGUCUCUCACACUGCUCAUCUCAACAAUCAAUUUUUACUGCUGUAGAAGAUAAUAAUGGUAAUAACACUAUAGAAAAAAACUACCAUGACCUAUAAGUUAUUAGUCUUUUAAAAAUAACUGUAGUGUAUGCAGCUUCUUCAUUUCCUGAAGUAGAAGAGAAGCUGAUAGUUGGAGCCUCUGAAGCUGUUCAUAUAUCUCCUGAAUGCAUGCAAGAGGUUGAUUUGCUCACAAAGGAAGAGCAGCUUUGAGAAUGGGCCACAUGGAUGAGAAAAGCGACCCAACAUUAGAAAUCUGCUGAGGACAAUCACCUUCUGGCCCACCUGUCUUCUUGCACCAAGUUCCAGCAAAAAGCUCGCAUCAUGACACACUAGUGCUUUAUCAUCCUACAACAAAAAAAAGUCAGGAUUCGAGGCCAGUUAAAGUGAUGCUCUUAGGUAGCAAAUUGUCAGUAUUCCCAAAAGGACAGUCCUCUGAUGGUGCUUUUGAUACUGAAAUUUCAAAGAUCUCUGUUCACCUGAAUGACAUCCAUAAAUUAAGUCUCCCACAAAGUCCAAAAUGUUCUUCUAUUGCAUUUAACAGAGAAGAUACAAAAUAUAAAACUUUAUUUCAUGUGUGUGCAGAUUUCCAUAUGCUUAACAAGAACUCACCUGGUUUCUAUAUUAUGUGAAAAGAUUGUCCUUAUAAGACAAAUUAUAUUCUAGUCACUUUCAAAUGAAGUGGAUUCACCAAGCACACAGUUUAUCUCAGGAUCUGGAAGCCUUCCUUAAAGCAUGACUGUGCAACAAGAGUUUUAAUGCCACUCCACUCUGUAAUGCACUGCAUGUUAACAAGAUUUAUAUACAUUACUGGUGCCGUUAAGGAAACUUAAAUGACUUGCAGUUUCUCUAGAUGAGAUUUUAAAAAAUCUUAAAAAGGGUGUGUAGCAUACAAAUGAAAUCAGAUUACAUUAGAAGUUGUUUAAAAGUACAAACAUAAUACUGCUUGUGUACCAGCUAUGGAACACACAGCAAAGACUUGUUUUACUUCAGACAAGCAUUCUACAGUCACUGAACAUAAAAAACCAUAAAGUUACAGCUGCUUUUAAAAUGUCACUUAGGGACAAACUGUAUAGAUGGGAAAUUAGAUAGUACUGAAUGGUUCUGGAGAAGGACCAGGCCUGUACUCUGAACUCCUAACUCUGCAUUCAUGAGAAAGAAUAAAAUAUUUCUCAUCACUAAUCAUGUUUUCAUAUGUAGGUACCUGUACCUACAAUGUGAUCCAAAUAAUUUAUCAGAUUCAGAAUGAUUAAUACUUUCCAAACUAUACUUAAAAUUGAGUCUAGUUAUAUUGUAUGAAAAUUGAGAAAAAUGAGGUAGAUGAUGUUUGGGUAACAAUUAAAAUUUUAGGCAGAUGCUUGAAUGUCCGUAAUUUUUUAAAAUGGGGGACUCUACAGUACAUGCUGCAAAAAUGACUCAAGCUAGGAUUUUCAGAAUAACCUAUAUUUUAAAAGUGCAGAACAAUGUCAAAUCUUUAAGCUUUCAAGCAGAGGAUUCGCAAUAAAAUGAAAUCAUUAGGCAAAGAGUGGUCACUGUUACGAUAAGAAGAAAAAAUAAUUCAAAAUUCUCAUAUCUAUUAUUAUAUUAGAAUAGUUCACUUUCUUCUCUACAUAAUAACAUUGGGUAUUAAAGAGCCAUUUAUGCAUACCUUAUUAUUAUUUAUGAAAUUACAAAUACACACAGUGUCUGAUAACUCAUCUCUCUGUAUUAAAUAGGAACAUACAUUGUUUUUUAAAAUGUCUGCCUUUUACAAUGUGUUAGGUAACAGCUUUCCAUAGCGUAAUCAUGAAUGCAUUAUAUAAUGUGCUUUAUAAGAAAUUAUUAAGGAUUAUGACUAUAGCAAUGUAAUUCGAAUAUAAAUAUGAAUAAAGCAUUUAGGAAUGAUAUUUUCACUUAGACUGUUACCUACAUAAUUUGCAGCAAUACAAUUAUCAUAGAAGAAGACAUACAUUUACAGAAAAAGCUGUUGCUACGAAUGUUAGUAAAAAUCCUAUAACGUAGGUGUUUUUCUAGCAACUUCACAAAACCCAUGCCUUUAAAAACAUGAGGAGAAUCCACAAUGCCACCUACAGUUUUCUUGACAGUAAUCUUGCCUUGGCAGGAAAAAAGGUCAGCUUUAUUUGAAAAGCCAGGUGCAUGUAAAUUUCCAAACUGCAAGUAGGUGGCAGUGGAGACAUUUCUGGAUGGCCCUUCUCAGUUGGAAAUGUAAAAGGAGGAGGAAGCUUCCUUAAAAACAAGUUAAAAACAUACUAAAAUAAAUAAUUUCCUGAAAUGUAACCUUCCAGAUCACCAUUAAGAGCUAAUAAAUUAUUUGUCUUUAGGGACCAAAAUCCCACCAAUCUCUUAAUGAAGACAACCAUAGCAUGAAAAGUGAGCAGCAUGGAUGACAAAAUUAGAAAAAAAUGAAAAGAGAGAAGUGUUGGACAAUUGUUUCCCACAAAUCUAAAAGAAAUAAUUAGGAAUUUGAUGUGGACAAGAAACUCCGAGGCUAGCAGCAUGAAAUACAUAAAUUUAAAACUAGUAACUUAGCAUUUUAAGAAGCCAUUAAGAAAUCUCCUGUUUGAAUGUGAAUUUAAGAGUAAGGGAGAUGAGUUUAUUAGGAUCUGGUCUUUAAUGAAGAAUAUCAAUUGAGUCCAUCAAAAAAUUGUGUACAAGAGGCUAUUAAACAAUGUAGACAUAUUUAAAGUGUGCUCAACUAUAAACAAACACUAGAAACAUUAGAAUAAAACCACCUGAAUUGUCUUUCAAGGUUAAUGAGUUGGCAUUUAGAUUCAUUCCAUUCUCAAGUUUACUUGCAAAGAUAAGAAGGGUCAUUAAGUUGUAUUAUCGGUUCAAUUUAAUUGAUUUGACUCGUGGACAUCAUAUUAGAAACUGGAAAAUGCCCAAGAAUAAACACUGGAGGGGUGUGUGUGUGUAUCAAUAUACAUGGAAAGAAACAGGUAAAUGUGUUGUAAGAUGGAAAAAAAGGAAGUUAAUGACAUUAUUUAUAUCGGAAUCACCACGUGAAAAGAAAUCAAGGUAAACGUCCAGAUCAAAGCUUUUUCACACCAUGACUAUCUCGAAUCAGCUUUUCUCCUUUCCUUAAUUGGUUAACCACACACACACAGUUUAACAACAAAGGCAACCAAGUGGUCAAGGGAUGCAAGAAACCUGGUGAAAACAAAUGCCACGUUCUUAGUACUACUGUUCCCCUGCCUGGAACAUUCUUCUUCUGUUCAUCUUUUAAGAUUCACCUCAAAAUCCAGAUACUCUAAAAUGCUGUUCGGAAUCCCUGAUGUGAAUUUAAUCACUCCCUCUCCUGCAGUAUUUAAAAAAACUUCUAUUAUAGCAAUUAUCACAUUUUAGAAUUAGAAUUAUUAUAGUUGUGUUUGGAUCUGAACGACCCCUAAGUCUGCAAGUCCUAGGAGGGCAGGGGUCAGUCCUUGACAAUUUUUGGAAAAUUUCUGAUGCCAUGCUCUGCAAGGAUGUUUAUCUGAAUUAGUUGAAAGGAUGACUUAAAACCAUCUCUCAAAAUACGCCAUGCUUUAAUGCUGUGGACAGUAAAGAAUCUAUGCUUUGGUGAACAACAGAAGAGUGACAUGCCUGUGACUCACUCUGAAUAGAGCCUUAUAAAGCCUUAAAAAGAAAUGUGGCACCAACCUUUACCCUCUCCUUAUAUACGCAGGAAUCCUUGGGAGCUACAGGGUUAGUUUGGUUGCUAGGAGUAAGGCCUGAGAAUUAUUAGUGAACUGGCAUCCUGGAAGCAGUAGGGGGCGUUUUACGCUGAGGAUGCUAUUGGAGGAUGUACUCACAGACUGUGUGAUGGGCGGUCACCUAGUCAUUGUCCUGGUGACCUUUUAAAUGUAAGCAGCAGGAAGCAUAACUCAGGCCUGGUAGCAGUGAUCAGAGUCAUGGGGGAACAAACUGUAAAAAUUCCAAAGCAAGGGCCAUACUGAACCCAGAAUUCUCAAAUUCAGGAAGAAACUUCCUAGGCUAAUUAAUAGAGUUUGUUACUUAGGUUUCCCACAUCAAAAGGGAUUUGGUGUCGUUGUUUUCUACCCUUUCUAUUCCUUGCCCCCUUAUGGCAUUACAGGUUCCUUUUGUUUUAUGGUGGGGGAAAAAACCAUACACACAAUGAAAGAAUAUUGAAAAAGUUCUGUAAAAGCUCCCCUGAGAGAGAAAAAUCUCUGGAAGUCAUUCUUCCUCUUGGAAAGGCGUUGGAUCAAUUUCAUUCUUCUCCAGAUAACACAUAAAACUCAGCACAGGCUAUGUAAGUAAAAGAAAGUUUCAGUGAGGGUUUGUUUCUUGCUGCCAAGGGUCUGCAACUUCGAAUUGCCUGAAAUACUGAACAUAUUGAGACAUGAAUGCUGCAAACAUCUAAAAAUAUUAGUAGUGUGGCUGCCUACAAAGAAGAUGGAGGGCCUACCUGAGGCGGCAGAGCCUCUUACAUUGGAGGGUUGGAGAGAAUCAUCCACCUGCAGGAGGCCCCCAGUCAGGAGGUUAGAAGACCAUAUUUAAGAAGAAGGAAUCACAGUCCAAGUUCGGCCUCAAACCAGUACAUUUUAAGAGUCUCAGUAGAUAGCAAAGAGAUCAUAAAAAUGACUCACCAAAAGGCAUAUAUUAAAAUUGGACUGGGAUGCAUUUUUAAGAAAGCCAGAAAACUCCAAGAGCAUAGCUUCAGAAUAAGAACAACACAUGGUUUUUUGGGGGGGAAGUUUAAUAAACUGCAGUUUUGGAUUACCUUAAUCCAUAUCCUUAAUCCACAAAAUUCUGUCAUUCACUGUUUUGGGCAAUGUGACAUUAUAUUUUAUUGUAAAGUAUUAUAGUAUAUUUCUGUUUGAUGAGUAAAA